rnacentral:rRNA from 1 species
AGUGAACGCUGGCGGUAGGCCUAACACAUGCAAGUCGAACGGCAGCACAGUAAGAGCUUGCUCUUACGGGUGGCGAGUGGCGGACGGGUGAGGAAUACAUCGGAAUCUACUUUUUCGUGGGGGAUAACGUAGGGAAACUUACGCUAAUACCGCAUACGACCUACGGGUGAAAGCAGGGGAUCUUCGGACCUUGCGCGAUUGAAUGAGCCGAUGUCGGAUUAGCUAGUUGGCGGGGUAAAGGCCCACCAAGGCGACGAUCCGUAGCUGGUCUGAGAGGAUGAUCAGCCACACUGGAACUGAGACACGGUCCAGACUCCUACGGGAGGCAGCAGUGGGGAAUAUUGGACAAUGGGCGCAAGCCUGAUCCAGCCAUACCGCGUGGGUGAAGAAGGCCUUCGGGUUGUAAAGCCCUUUUGUUGGGAAAGAAAAGCAGCAGGUUAAUACCCCGCUGUUCUGACGGUACUCAAAGAAUAAGCAUCGGCUAACUUCGUG